GUGAGGGUACUCUGCCGGUUUUGCUGCGGAAGUCACCUCGUGGCGUAGGGGAGAGGUAACACCGAGAAGAGGCAGCGGCGGUGGCGCCAAGACGAUUGGUGCCAAACAGGGCAGAACGCAACUCAGCUCUGGGGUGGGUUCCUGUCCAGAGGGGUAGAGAAGAGUGGCUGAGGGCGCGCCCUGAUCUCAGCGGGAAGAGUGCGACCCCGAGGGCGCGCUAGUUUGUGAAUAGCACAAUGGAAGAAGCUGGACUUUGUGGGUUAAGAGAGAAAGCAGAUAUGUUGUGUAACUCUGAAUCACAUGAUAUUCUUCAACAUCAAGACUCAAAUUGCAGUGCCACAAGUAAUAAACAUUUAUUGGAAGAUGAAGAAGGCCGUGACUUUAUAACAAAGAACAGGAGUUGGGUGAGCCCAGUGCACUGCACACAAGAGUCAAGAAGGGAGCUUCCUGAGCAAGAAGUAGCCCCUCCGUCUGGUCAGCAAGCUUUACAAUGCAACAGGAACAAAGAAAAAGUCUUAGAGAGACAAGGUCUUUCCCUGUCACCCAGGCUGGAGCGCGGUGGUACAUUCAUGGGUCAUGGCAGCCUUAAACUCCCUGAGCUCGUGAUCCUGUCUCUUCAGACUCUAGAGUAGCUGGGGCUACAGGCGUACACCACCACACAUGGCUAAUUUUUUAUUUUUCUUUUGUUGUAGAGAUGGGCUGUCAUUCUCUUGCCCAGGCUGGUCUUGGUAUACUGUCCUGUAGCAGUAUAUUUUGGCUACCUGUACUGGCAUUGGCUUUUCCAAGUGUCAAGAUUACAGGUGUGAGCUAGUAUACCCUGCCCAGUGUUUCUUUCUUACUUGGCUUUGGUGUGAAUGAGAAAAGAAUUUAGUACUAAAAUUUUAUGUGCAUACAGAAGCAUUAUUUGAAGUCAGCCUGUUUUCCCUCAACCUCUAGUACUCUGUAAAGUAUACCAAAAGUCAAGGUUUUAAAGAACUGUGUUACAUAUUAGAGAGAACAAAUCAAAAGUUACCUAUCUCCAUCGUUACCAGUAGAACAUUAGUAUGUAUUUUGAAGCACCAUUUGACUCUUUCUAUUUCAGCUACUUGCUUGUCCCUUGCAAAGUUAUUAUAGUACUCUUUUAAAACUUUUCUUCAAGGGAAGAGCUAUUUUGACUUCCUUUUCUUUGAUCUAAACCUAACACCCAGAAUAUGCUUAGCAGAUCAUCCCAAAACAAUCAUAACUUGUUUAAAUUGUUCAUAGCAAAAGUUACAUAUUAUAAAGAGUUAUGAGUGUCUUAGGCAGUGAAUAGUAACUGAAUAUCCUUUUAUAGUUGUCCUUCACUAGCAGGAAGCCUUAUUCCCUGCCCUUUUACAUAUCUUAACUUAGAAUGUUACUGUCUAAAUAGUGGUUAGGCAAGAGUAGUUCUUAAACGUGCAGUAAUUAUCUUGCACUACAUUUAAGGGCUAAAUAGCUAGUAGUGGUGCUUGAUAAUUGAAGAAAUUUGUACAGCUGGAGGAAGUACCUGCUAAAUUUUCAAAAGUUACCUGAAUUUAAUAGGUAAAUCUGUUUUUAAUUAGAGCUAUAUCAUUUUACUCUGAAUGUCUUAACAUAGAAGUUUACAUAAAAUUUACAGAUUGGAUUGAUUUCAGCCUUCUUCUGGUACUUUUUAAAAUCUUAUUAAUCAUUAGGAAAAGAAGUUUUAUUAUUGAUGCAAGCCCUAAACACUCUUUCGACUCCAGAGGAGAAGCUGGCAGCUCUCUGUAAGAAAUAUGCUGAUCUUGUGAGUAUUUAUUUAAUGGAGCAAGGAACACAGAAAAUAAAAUCUAUGUGUGCUUGAUAAGAUUUUUAAAUAUUAUUUUGAUGUAACUUUAAAUGUAAAAUGAUAUUUUAUCUCAAAAUUGAAAACAAUCUCCUUUCUUUAGUACUUAUGAUUGGUGUGUGUGACUUCAUCUUAUGAAAUGAUGUAUAGAACAUAAUAAUACUUUUUUAAAUGUGAAAUAAAUUUCCUAAAACUUAAUAUGCUAGAUCAGCAGUUUUUUUUUUUUGUAUGCUUAAGAUGCCUGACAAUUGGGAGGAAGUGGUUUCUGUAUUUAAAAUUUUCCGAAGGAAUUCUGCAGAUUCAAGCUCUAACCAUUCUUGAUUAAAAUUGUGAGUUAGAUAAGAUUGUUUAGUAAAAUUGUACUAUGGCUCAGGAAAUAUUUAUUUAAUAUCUACUGUAUGCCAAGCAUUGUUCUUUUUUCCAUCUUCCAGGGAAAUUCACCUCUUCUAUAGAAGAGUUUGUUUUGAACUAUACGAUUUGAAACAAAAUUCUUUUUUUGGAGACUAUGGAAACAUUCUCAACAGGGAAACCCUACUAGACUUUGUAAAGCAAAUAAUGGAAAAGAUACAGAACUUUUUGAAGAAUCAUGGGAAAUUUUUAUAAUUAAAUAAAUGCUAAAAUUCUGUUUUGUGAAACAUUUAUGGGAAUUAUCACUGACAGUUUUUGUACACUUUCAAAUAGUGUUAAAGCAGCAACUCCAUGUUGUAAAUGCACAAAACAAAUAUUUAGUUAAUAAUCAACUCCAAGAAUAAAGCUGUAACAAUAAUA
ensembl:lncRNA TXLNGY taxilin gamma Y-linked (pseudogene)